rnacentral:tRNA from 1 species
GGGGUUGUGGCUCAGUGGUAGAGCACCUACUCAGCAUGCAUGAGGCACUGGGUUUGAUCCCCAGCACCACA